rnacentral:rRNA from 1 species
AGUCGAACGGAGAUUACUUCGGUAAUCUUAGUGGCGAACGGGUGAGUAACGCGUGGGCAACCUGCCCUCUAGAUGGGGACAACAUCCCGAAAGGGGUGCUAAUACCGAAUGUGACAGCAAUCUCGCAUGAGGAUGCUGUGAAAGAUGGCCUCUAUUUAUAAGCUAUCGCUAGAGGAUGGGCCUGCGUCUGAUUAGCUAGUUGGUGGGGUAACGGCCUACCAAGGCGAUGAUCAGUAGCCGGUCUGAGAGGAUGAACGGCCACAUUGGGACUGAGACACGGCCCAGACUCCUACGGGAGGCAGCAGUGGGGAAUCUUCCGCAAUGGGCGAAAGCCUGACGGAGCAAUGCCGCGUGAGUGAUGAAGGAAUUCGUUCCGUAAAGCUCUUUUGUUUAUGACGAAUGUGCAGGUUGUGAAUAAUGACUUGUAAUGACGGUAGUAAACGAAUAAGCCACGGCUAACUACGUGCCAGCAGCCGCGGUAAUACGUAGGUGGCGAGCGUUGUCCGGAAUUAUUGGGCGUAAAGAGCAUGUAGGCGGUUUUUUAAGUCUGGAGUGAAAAUGCGGGGCUCAACCCCGUAUGGCUCUGGAUACUGGAAGACUUGAGUGCAGGAGAGGAAAGGGGAAUUCCCAGUGUAGCGGUGAAAUGCGUAGAUAUUGGGAGGAACACCAGUGGCGAAGGCGCCUUUCUGGACUGUGUCUGACGCUGAGAUGCGAAAGCCAGGG